rnacentral:rRNA from 1 species
GGUUGAUCCUGCCAGUAGUCGUAUGCUUGUCUCGAAGAUUAAGCCAUGCAUGUAAAGUUCAAGCUCCGAUUUGUGAGGGCGAAACCGCGAAUGGCUCAUUAAAUCAGUCAUAAUCUACUUGAUUGUUUAAAGUUUAUAUGGAUAACUGUGGUAAUUCUAGAGCUAAUACAUGCGUGAAGGGGGCGACGCUGGCGCAAGUUGGCGAAGCUCUGCGUUUAUUAGACUAAGACCGAUGUUGGCCUAAAAAACCAACUCUAUAAAUUGGUGACUCUGAGUAAAUAACGGGUGCAAG